rnacentral:rRNA from 1 species
AGAGUUUGAUCCUGGCUCAGAGUGAACGUUGGCGGCGUGGAUUAGGCAUGCAAGUCGAGCGAGAAGUCUGCUUCGGCAGGCGGACAGCGGCGAAAGGGACAGUAAUGUGUAGGUACCUACCCUCGGGUCCGGGAUAGCUGCGGGAAACUGCAGGUAAUACCGGAUGAUAUCUCCGGAUCAAAGGUGUGAUUCCGCCCGGGGAGGGGCCUGCAUCCUAUUAGUUUGUUGGUGGGGUAACGGCCUACCAAGGCUACGAUGGGUAGCGGGUGUGAGAGCAUGACCCGCGUCAUUGGGACUGAGACACUGCCCAGACACCUACGGGUGGCUGCAGUCGAGAAUCUUCGGCAAUGGGCGAAAGCCUGACCGAGCGACGCCGCGUGCGGGAUGAAGGCCUUCGGGUUGUAAACCGCUGUCGUAGAGGAGGAAAUACAGGGGGGUUCUCCCCUUUGUUUGACCUAUUCUAGGAGGAAGUACGGGCUAAGUUCGUGCCAGCAGCCGCGGUAAGACGAACCGUACAAACGUUACUCGGAAUUACUGGGCUUAAAGGGUGCGUAGGCUGCGCGGAAAGUUGGGUGUGAAAGCCCUCGGCUCAACCGAGGAAUUGCAUCCAAAACUACCGUGCUCGAGGGAGACAGA